rnacentral:rRNA from 1 species
GAUGAACGCUGGCGGCGUGCCUAAUACAUGCAAGUCGAACGAACAGACGCGGAGCUUGCUGCUCUGACGUUAGCGGCGGACGGGUGAGUAACAAGUGGAUAACCUCCCUAUAAGACUGGGAUAACUUCGGGAAACCGGAGCGAAUACCAGAUAAUAUAUUGAACCUCUUGCUUCAAUAGUGAAAGACGGUUUUGCUGUCACUUAUAGAUGGAUCCGCGCCGCAUUAGCUAGUUGGUAAGGUAACGGCUUACCAAGGCAACGAUGCGUAGCCGACCUGAGAGGAGGAUCGGCCACAACGGAACGGAGACACGGUCCAGAAUCCUACGGCAGGAAGCAGUAGGGAAGAUUCCGCAAUGGGCGAAAGCAUGACGGAGCAACGCCGCGUGGGUGAUGAAGGUCUUCGGAUCGUAAAACUCUGUUAUUAGGGAAGAACAAAUGUGUACGUAACUAUGCACGUCUUGACGGUACCUAAUCAGAAAGCCACGGCUAACUACGUG